UGGGGAAUUUUUCGCAAUGGGGGAAACCCUGACGAAGCAACGCCGCGUGGAGGAUGAAGGCCUUCGGGUCGUAAACUCCUGUCGACUGGGACGAAAGUAGUCCGACCCAAUACGUCGGGCUAUCGACUGUACCGGUGGAGGAAGCCACGGCUAACUCUGUGCCAGCAGCCGCGGUAAUACGAAGGUCCCAAGCGUUGUUCGGAAUCACUGGGCGUAAAGGGUGCGUAGGCGGCGGGGUAAGUCAGAUGUGAAAUUUUCGAGCUCAACUUGGAAACUGCAUCCGAUACUACUUUGCUUGAGUAGCGGAGGGGAGUCUGGAAUUCACGGUGUAGCAGUGAAAUGCGUAGAGAUCGUGAGGAACACUAGUAGCGAAGGCGAGACUCUGGACGUUUACUGACGCUGAGGCACGAAGGCCAGGGGAGCAAAAGGGAUUAGAUACCCCCGUAGUCCCUGAGCGGGCUGGCAAGGCGCAU
rnacentral:rRNA from 1 species